CUCCAACCACACCACCACCACCACAUGUCUUCAGAAACAAGUGGAAAAUAGGCCAGCUAGUAGUAUGGCAGGUCAUUCCUGAAGGUCAGAUUCCAGCACUCAACUACCACAUUGUCACAGCAUUACCAAGAAACUUAUUAAUAGCAUCCUUGAAAAA